AAUAUUGCGCAAUGGGGGGAACCCUGACGCAGCAACGCCGCGUGAGUGACGAAGGUUUUCGGAUCGUAAAGCUCUGUCAUCAGGGACGAAAAAUGACGGUACCUGAGGAGGAAGCCCCGGCUAACUACGUGCCAGCAGCCGCGGUAAUACGUAGGGGGCGAGCGUUGUCCGGAAUUAUUGGGCGUAAAGGGUGCGUAGGCGGCCUUAUAAGUCAGAUGUGAAAUACCAGGGCUUAACUCUGGGGGUGCAUUUGAAACUAUUUGGCUUGAGUGCAGGAGAGGAAAGUGGAAUUCCUAGUGUAGCGGUGAAAUGCGUAGAGAUUAGGAGGAACACCAGUGGCGAAGGCGACUUUCUGGACUGUAACUGACGCUGAUGCACGAAAGCGUGGGUAGCGAACA
rnacentral:rRNA from 1 species